rnacentral:rRNA from 1 species
UGCAGUCGAGGGGUAACAUUUGUGCUUGCGCAAGAUGACGACCGGCGCACGGGUGCGCACCGCGUAUGGAACCUGCCUUGUACAGGGGAAUAGCCCAGGGAAACUUGGAUUAAUGCCCCGUAGUACCGUGACCCGGCAUCGGGAUACGGUUAAAGCCUUCGGGCGGUACAAGAUGGCCAUGCGUCCCAUUAGCUAGUUGGUAAGGUAACGGCUUACCAAGGCUACGAUGGGUAGGGGCCCUGAGAGGGGGAUCCCCCACACUGGUACUGAGACACGGACCAGACUCCUACGGGAGGCAGCAGUGAGGAAUAUUGGACAAUGGAGGAGACUCUGAUCCAGCCAUGCCGCGUGCAGGAAGAAUGCCCUAUGGGUAGUAAACUGCUUUUAUACGGGAAGAAAAAGAGCUACGUGUAGCUUACUGACGGUACCGUAAGAAUAAGGACCGGCUAACUCCGUGCCAGCU